rnacentral:rRNA from 1 species
CAGUCAUGCUAGUGAAAAUUCAGUUUGACGGGUUUUGGUCUUUUGAUAGAGGCAGCGUUUCUUUUUUGGACUAGGAUCUGUCAGAUGCACUUUUUCUUUGGCAGGUCAGCGUCGAUUUCGAGGGUUGU